GAGCACAAGGGGACACGGUCGAUUAACGCUCGCCAAAUAAAUAAUCCCCGCCGAUAAAACGAACGAUUGCGCAAGAAUCCACGGCCGACGCGCUCUCUCCCUCUUUUCAGGCCAUAAAUCACUUACGAAUUAACCCCUCUAAUUGGUACGGUGGUAUUUAAAUCGACGACGGUUGGUAACCACGGAGUGGAGAAUGCGGACGCGUGUAAGCCGAGGACGCGUUUUUACGCGGUCGAUUUAAUUCCCCCGUUUAUAAUUAAGUCGACGCUUCCUCGUCACCAACAGCUGGAUUCUGGGAUAAUUCUGGUGUGCAUGGGAUAAUUAGAAUUUUCAAUUUAGAAUGGGUGGAAAUGGGUUCGUGAACUGUGAAUAUUCGCGAAGGAUGAAGAUUCAAGGGAAUCUAUGGUGGAAGAUGGAGUCAAGAUAAGAUGAUUGCGUCUAUAUACACAGAGUAUCGUAAUUUUUAACAACCAAUUGUCAAUAUAUUCGAAUAAAUGAGAGAAAAAUAUACGAUAUACGUCUGAAUUGAAUACGAUAUUCAUGGUAUAAUGGUCGUGAUUUAUAUUUGAUUGUAAUUGAUGUUGAAAUGAAGCAGUAAUUUUGCAAAUUUAAUUGCAAUUAAUAACUGUAAUAAAAUUUAAAUAGUGGAGAUUUGUACGUGAUGAUUUUAAUUUGAAAUGCGGAUGGAAACUUUAUUUAUUCAGUUUUAUGUGAAAUAGAUAUUGUAAAACAAUGAUAUAAUUUCAGUGAGUGAAAUAAAUUGAAUAAUAAUA